rnacentral:rRNA from 1 species
CACGCCGUAAACGAUGAAUGCUAGGUGUUGGGGGGCAAAGCCCUUCGGUGCCGCCGCAAACGCAGUAAGCAUUCCACCUGGGGAGUACGCCGGCAACGGUGAAACUCAAAGGAAUUGACG